ACAAAAUAUUUGCGUAGAUUGUUUUUCUUCGCAGUUUUUGUCCACAUUUAAGCAAACGGAUAUUUUGGACUAAAAUUCAGUUUGAUUAGGGCAGGACAAUUCAGGACAUUGUAUUUGGUUAUUGUUACGGAUGAAAUUAUAAUUUUAUAAAGUUGUCGCAUGGUUUGCUAGAAUAUGCUUAAAAUAUAAAAAGCAAGCGCAAAUGUUCUAUGAAAGACUCGAAUCAAUGAGGAGGCUUGAAAUUACAAAAAAAAAGAGGAUAUAGCUUACCCUGAACUAUUUCUCUUCUUAGAUACAAUUGUCAAGAUGAUCGUCUUCAGACCAGAAUAUUCAGUGUUAAAAGUUUGUUUUAUCACCGCACUAACUCUUGCUCAUGACAAUUUCCGUCAAUGCGAACACUGGUUCAACUGCGCAUCUUACCAAGCUUUAAAGUCAAGAAGUGUGAACCAUGAUAUAACUUAUUUCCUUGGAAUGAACAUUGGUUAGUGAUUUGUUACAGCACAAACUUGCAAAGAAAAACCGACAUCCUGUUCAGAAUAUAAAUGGAGAAACACGGUACAGUCGAUUCAAAUGAAGGAAAACAAGCUAGUUGCAGUGAAAAAUAUUGCUCGAAACAUUUAAGUAUUGGAAGAAAACCCAAGCCCGCAGAAAAGAACAAAAAUUCUGUUGCAAGACGCAAGUGUAAAGUAUGUGGUACAAUGUGGCCAAUUACUCAACGGUGUUGUGAACCAGAUGCCGAGCCAGAGAAAUCAAAGACAGAAAAUUAUACCCUUGAGGGUGAUAAAGAAUACCGUGAAAAGUUCUGCCUACAACAUAAAAGCUCAUUGUGUAACGUGGAAAGUACUGACGGAGCGUCUGAUAGCACUUCCGGGGGACUAUACGCCACCCAUCCCGCUUAUAACAACAUGUAUACCGACGACGACCGAACAUUAAAAUAUUCACUUCGUUUUGUCAACCGCCUGUUUCCCAGCAAGUAAAACAAGUAAAAUAGAGAGAUCAUUAUAUUAUCAAUUGCAAUUUGUCAUUUUAAAUAUUUGUCGAUAAAUUAAGAAACAGAUGUAAAAUUGAUAAAAUCGGUCUUUGGAUUCUCGCGAAAUGUUCAAAAUCUGAAGCAAAAAUGACAACUUGUCAUGCCAAAUGUUACGCAACAUACUCAGAUAUUUUGUUGGCAUAAUACUUACUUUAGAUCAUCAGGACAAUGUACGAUUUUUGUUUAUGAAGGACCAAAUCAUACCUAACAAAGUUUCCCAACUGUAAGCAUAUUCACUGUUGGAUAGAUUCUUUAGUAACACGAAUCAAUAUGGAUAAUUAUAAGUGACGAGCAAAAAGAUAUAUAAAACAUAUUCAUUAAAUUUCUAUUCUGCAGUCAACACACUUCAGAAUGCGAAAAAGUCUGGAUUUUGGUUCAGUAUGGAAUGUGGUUUAAAGAGGAUAACCUGAUGUCUCCUUAAAGAAGGAACUGUCCUCGACAUAUGAAUGAAUUUGUUAAAAUUCUAGUUUCGUCUACGAAAGCGAAAUACGCCUUUGGUAUACCUACAGUGCCUGUAUGGCCAUGAACAUGCACAUGCAAGUAUUUGUGCUUGGUGUCCAAUUUGGAAAAUUGUGGUGCCGUGAUAGUAUGUACUGAUUAAUAAUAAGAGCAGAAAUGUAAACUAACAUGUUAGCCACUAAUAUCGAUUGACAUUGAAUAUUGUGCAUAUGACUAUGAAGUAAGAAUGUAUGAAAAAGAUCACCUGUUUUAUCAUACAUAUUUGCAUAAGACUAGUUAAAAAGAAGGAAUGAGAUAUGGUUUUGUUAAUUACGCACGAUACGGAUAUGCAAAAAAUGUUAAUAUUGUAUAUUAACUAAAUUAGUUUUAAUACUA
rnacentral:lncRNA from 1 species